rnacentral:rRNA from 1 species
UACAGAGGUCUCAAGCGUUGUUCGGAUUCAUUGGGCGUAAAGGGCGCGUAGGCGGUGGGGUAAGUCUGGUGUGAAAUCUCGGAGCUCAACUUCGAAAUUGCACUGGAUACUGCUCUGCUAGAGGGCUGGAGAGGAGAUCGGAAUUCACGGUGUAGCAGUGAAAUGCGUAGAUAUCGUGAGGAAGACCAGUGGCGAAGGCGGAUCUCUGGACAG